AUACACCACUUUGGCGGUUUUAUUUGAAUAAAACACUUGCUCGCUAAGUUCGACUGAAUUAAAAUCGACGUUUGAAUCAAAUUCCUAUUUUGCCGUGCUCUGCCUCGCCGUUUGAACCUCGCCGUUUGAUGAUAUAUAAACAGCCUAGCUAGACGUGGCGCAAUCGAAGAAAAUGGCGAAAUCGACGAAAAUGGCGCAAUCGAAGAAAAUCAAUAUGAAAGGAUUCAUAGUGAGGAAUAUGACAGGAACCAAAGAGUGCUUUUCAAGAGGUUCGAGUUCAUGGAAGCAACAAUGGAUAAAAGACACAGGUCGAAAAUGGCCGAAGGAUUGCAAAAUAAGGGGAUGUGCAAAGACCCCAGAAGUAGGGGGUCAUGUCGAGGCCUAUCACAAUUCCAAAAAUUCUUACAUAAUACCAAUGUGUAAGUCAUGCAAUAAUGCAUAUAAUACCGGAUGGAUGCAUGUGAACGCAACAACAACGGGUGCUUAUACUGAUGUGAGCAAUACCAGAGGACCUGAAGGUGUUUGUUACUGACGUUAAAAAUAUGAAUAUUGUUAAUAAUAUAAUUAAAAUAUCUUAUUUUCUUGUUUGGUUUAGUUUUAGUUCAAUGAUAUAGCAUAGAGGAAACAAUUGCCAGAAAUAAAUGUACGUAUUUGAGGGAGAAAUUGAUAGAUAAAAUCUAGUUUGAAAAGUACAUACUUCAAUUCUAAUUAUUUCAAAUAUUUGACAAACAUGCAUGAUUGUCAUAAACAUAGAAACAAUUGAUCCAAUAAACAGCUUACUGUA